GACGAACGCUGGCGGCGUGCUUAACACAUGCAAGUCGAACGGAAAGGCCCUGCUUUUGUGGGGUGCUCGAGUGGCGAACGGGUGAGUAACACGUGAGUAACCUGCCCUUGACUUUGGGAUAACUUCAGGAAACUGGGGCUAAUACCGGAUAGGAGCUCCUGCUGCAUGGUGGGGGUUGGAAAGUUUCGGCGGUUGGGGAUGGACUUGAGGCUUAUCAGCUUGUUGGUGGGGUAGUGGCUUACCAAGGCUUUGACGGGUAGCCGGCCUGGGAGGGUGACCGGCCACAUUGGGACUGGGGUACGGCCCAGACUCCUACGGGAGGCAGGAGUGGGGAAUAUUGCACAAUGGGCGGAAGCCGGAUGCAGCAACGCCGCGUGCGGGAUGACGGCCUUCGGGUUGUAAACCGCUUUCGCCUGUGACGAAGCGUGAGUGACGGUAAUGGGUAAAGAAGCACCGGCUAACUACGU
rnacentral:rRNA from 1 species